CUGAGUAACUAAGAGGCUGAAAAAGACAAGGCCAAAUGAGAUACAAAAAUUAUCCAGCCAAAUACACAGUCUGCUUGCAAUAGCACAGAGACUAGAAGUACUAAGAGCCUUAAUGCUGUUUUUUGAAACUGUUAUAGGCACCCAACUUGGGCAAAAUAGUUAGGUGUUAGACCCACUGGGGCUCCAGAGCUUCUGUCUCAGCUGCAUCUGUCCCCUUUAUGACUAAAGAGAACUUUACCUUCCUGAAACAAGACAGAAGAGUUGCCAAGAGAAAGACAUUCUGAAGCACCAGGCUCAGGUGUCUGAAAGGCACGAGAAUUGGGAUUCUGCAGUAAACACCAAGAAUCAGUCGGGAUUCAGAGCAACAAACUUGUUUCUACAGGUACAAUUUUGGAAGAUAACAGUUACACAACUUUCCAAAGAGCAACAGCAUCCCAGCAGCAAAAAUUUACAGCUUUUGGACCAGAGCUAUGGCAUAUGGGUCAGAACUGUUUGUGACUCAAACCACAGAGGAAGCUGAUGCUUUCCUGCAAAAAAAAGAUGGAGCUUUUUGCUCAGCACUGCUGGUAGAAAGGGGAAAAGACAGCUAUCAAAAUUUUAUUUCCUUACUGCCUGACAGUAAUGCCUGACUCUGAGAAUUCAGAUUCUUCGAAGACCUACUUCCAAGAUGCCCUGACAGGUGCAGUUGGUGACAAAGUGGAGAGUAAGCACUGUGUUGCCAAGUAGGACAAAUGUAGGACCAUGAGAAAAUCCCUGCUAAAUCACGUGAUCUACAAAAGUGUGGCAUGCCCACCAACACCCAGGCCUGAAACAUCCGUUUGUCAUCUUUCCAGGAAAAUGUUUCCAACACUUUAAAGUUUUCCGUGCUUAUUGAAGAUUUUGUUUCUUGUGGCAUUUAUGUGCAUUUACAUAACUUCUGUAAAUCUGUUGCUAAUUGUUGUAUUUGCUUCUUUAUUUCAUUUGUCCGAUGCCCUUUGAGUGGUUUCAAUAAAAUUGCAUAUUAUGACUAA